CUGUGGGUUUUGGCUGGGUUUAAGUCCCAGCCAUGUGGGUCCAAGUCCCAAGCAGGGUUUUGGCUGGGUUCGAGUCCCAGCACGUGGGUUCAAGUCCCAAUCUGUGGUUAACUGUUUCAGCUGGCACCCACAAAGGGAUGGUGAUAAGUGAACUGAAAUAAAGCAAUAUUGAAGAAAGGAAGUCAAAUAAGAACCUUCAUCUCUAUUCAGAGGAAGAUGCAAAGUAGAAAUAAUGAUGGCCACAGAAGCAGCCCUGAGAAUCCAGCCUGUGCUUUGCAAUCAGCCCUGGGCAUUGACAAACAUUAAACACUUAAAGAAAAACACAUUUCUCUGAGUGCAAAAGCUGCCAGUGCUGAAGAGAACCAUCUUAACUAAGUCUACAGGGAAUCUACACUUAGUAAAAUGGAACAUUCCUGUGCUA